rnacentral:rRNA from 1 species
AUUGAACGCUGGCGGCAGGCCUAACACAUGCAAGUCGAGCGGAUGAAGGGAGCUUGCUCCUGGAUUCAGCGGCGGACGGGUAAGUAAUGCCUAGGAAUCUGCCUGGUAGUGGGGGAUAACGUCCGGAAACGGGCGCUAAUACCGCAUACGUCCUGAGGGAGAAAGUGGGGGAUCUUCGGACCUCACGCUAUCAGAUGAACCUAGGUCGGAUUAGCUAGUUGGUGGGGUAAAGGCCUACCAAGGCGACGAUCCGUAACUGGUCUGAGAGGAUGAUCAGUCACACUGGAACUGAGACACGGUCCAGACUCCUACGGGAGGCAGCAGUGGGGAAUAUUGGACAAUGGGCGAAAGCCUGAUCCAGCCAUGCCGCGUGUGUGAAGAAGGUCUUCGGAUUGUAAAGCACUUUAAGUUGGGAGGAAGGGCAGUAAGUUAAUACCUUGCUGUUUUGACGUUACCAACAGAAUAAGCACCGGCUAACUUCGUG